AGGGAUGUAGUUCAGUCAGUAGAGUGCUUGCCUCACAUGCAUUAGGCCCUAGGUUCAAUCCCUAGCACCACUA
rnacentral:tRNA from 1 species